rnacentral:rRNA from 1 species
GAUGAACGCUGGCGGCGUGCCUAAUACAUGCAAGUCGAGCGAACAGAUGAGGAGCUUGCUCCUCUGACGUUAGCGGCGGACGGGUGAGUAACACGUGGAUAACCUACCUAUAAGACUGGGAUAACUUCGGGAAACCGGAGCUAAUACCGGAUAAUAUAUUGAACCGCAUGGUUCAAUAGUGAAAGACGGUUUUGCUGUCACUUAUAGAUGGAUCCGCGCCGCAUUAGCUAGUUGGUAAGGUAACGGCUUACCAAGGCAACGAUGCGUAGCCGACCUGAGAGGGUGAUCGGCCACACUGGAACUGAGACACGGUCCAGACUCCUACGGGAGGCAGCAGUAGGGAAGCUUCCGCAAUGGGCGAAAGCUUGACGGAGCAACGCCGCGGGAGUGAUGAAGGUCUUCGGAUCGUAAAACUCUGUUAUUAGGGAAGAACAAAUGUGUAAGUAACUAUGCACGUCUUGACGGUACCUAAUCAGAAAGCCACGGCUAACUACGU